CCCCCCCCCCCCCCCAACAGGAAAUGGUAAUAAUGGACAUUGGUUAAAUUUGAGUACAUUUAAGAAAUAUAUUAAACAUCAGUGAUUUUCUGUUAUAGCAUGAAGUUUAGAGUAUAGCAUUGAGAGUUUAGAGUCAGAUCUCUUGGCUGGAAUCUCCAUCCUUCUUCUCAGAGGCAAUAUUUAGAAUACUUAUUCCUUUAACUUACUAUUUUUACUUAGACUUUUUACACCAGUUUAGAUUUUUCUGUUCUGUAGUUAUAUAACAGCCAUAAAUUUAAAUGCUUUGGGGUUGAGAAAUGAUAACUUAGGUUUACAUGAUGACUUUCCCUGCAAGGCAGAGAAUUUUGACAGGCUGAGAAAAAUUGUUUAAUUUUUGGUAUUGACUGGCAGGUAUAACUGAAAGCAUGAUCCAGUAUUUCUAGCAUAAAAACUUUCUAUUGGCUCCUGUCAGUGAUAUUUGUAUGAGAGGGAGGAGUUGAGGUGAGUUAGCUAGGAGAGAUUUAUACUGAAUACUUCUACAGAAAGAUUGACCUUUUUAGGAAAACAGGAAAAAAAAGCUAUAUAUUAAAAUGACAGUACUUUUAUUGUUAACUAGUAAUUUUCUUCAUUAAUGGAGUUUAUUCUCUUAUGCAAGUCUUUUAGCAGUGAAGUAUGUAGCUUGCUCUGGCUGGCCAGAAUAAAUAUUUUGUAUUUGAUUGCAUAUAGGUCCUUCUCAUGAACAAAAUUGAAUUCAUUCACUUCUCAGUAGCAAUGGGAGACUCUUCCUGCUGCAUAGGGAGUGGCAGUAAUGCUUGAACAUAUGAAAUACAAGAGUAGUGUCUAACCUUUUUGGCUUAUUGUCCAUAGACUCUAACUCUGUAUUGUGGAGAGCUGCAAGAUGCAUACAGUGUGCUCCAGAGAGCCAUAGGUGGGAGACAGUGAUAGUGAACUUAGGGAUCUUACCACUCAUUAUGAUGCUGUCUUUCUUCUGCAGCCCUUCUCUCUGGCGUGAAGUGGACUUUGUAUAGGAGAACUCUCAAAAAUGUUUUUUUCUUGGUUUGUGAACAAACCCUUCCUUAAUCAGCGAACAUAUGAAUACAGUUGCCUCAAGCAUACCCCGAGUCUUUUUGUAUUGUAUUUUUAUGUUGUCACUGGAAUUUGUCAUAGUGUCACCAUACCACUAUGAAAGCAGCACUGAACCAUGCAACUUGUAAAGUCUUUAAGAAUUCCCAUCUAUUAAAGUACAUCCGUAACAGGAAGAUGGUCAAAUAGUUUUCAGAGGUGAGUAAAGCUGUACUUUUCAUGGACGGUGUGGUGUUUCAGAUGAAUAUUUAUUCAUCUCUUAAACACCCAUUUCCUUUCAAUGAAAUUGCAGUGUGAAAUUUCGUACACACAGCCAUUAUCUUACAUAAAUAGACUUUUUCUCCCUGCCUCUGUGCUUUUGCAUUUUGGCUUUUAAGAGUAAGGUAAAUACAUCUUAGACGUAUUUACUUACCACUGUAACUUAACAGCAGAACAAAACCAAUACAGUUUAUGCCUGUGCUGCCCUUCCUAACAUCAUAUAUAGGUGUCGAUUAGCCAGUAUGAGGUGAUGCACAUUAACCAGUACAUUAAUGCACAUUAACUACAUACAUUAACCAGUGUGAAGUGAUGAACUUCACAUUUGCUGGAUCCAAUGUCCCAGGAAAAUAAAUUGGGAUAGUGUGCCUAAAAAGGUAUCAUGUACAAGUGCAAGCUUACUACAGAUGCUAAAGAGCCAUAUCACCCUAGUAUCCUUGGUUUAUUGGAAUAUAUAAGUUCUGGAUCAUACUAUAUAGUAGUAUAACUCCUUCCUUCCUGCUUUUCAACUCUGGGAAGUUCAUCCUGACUUGAUGUAGGCUGAAAGGCCUGUUUAUCUGAAGAAACUUCAACAGCCAAGUAUUAGAGUUUGCACCAAGUUUUGGAACUGGCCUUGGUUUUACCUUUUUCCUGUUUCCUCUUCCAGAAUUAUUCUAGUGUGUGGUGCUGUGCUCUAGGCUUAAAACAGGGUGUUUAGCAGAAAUAAUGGUAAUAUGAUUUAAUUCAUAUUGGAUUAUGGACCAAGGUGUAUCCAUCAGCUCUAGUUUAGACAGUUAACUUUCAGGUGCCCACAUUUGACAAGCUAUCUAGGUGAGAUGGAAGUUCUUCCCAACAAUGAUUCAUCUCAUCUUAAAUAGAUGAGUAUCUAACAGUGCAGUUUUACAAAUGUUUGAGUUUGUCAGUGCCACAAACAGUCCCUUCUAAUGCAGGCAUUUCUUUUGCUAGUGCUGUAUUCUGCAUUGGGGAACUGAUCUGGUUUAACACUUAACAUUUUAUUUCCUGGUCUGGUUUUAGUGCAGUUUUUUAAUGGGGUUAAGAAUGAUAGCUGGGGAAGGGCCAGAAUACUGUUUUUGGUGUUCAUUCGUAGAACUGUGGCCUCAAGCAGAUAUUAUAGGAGAGUGAUUCCUAUAACCUCACAUAACAAAUAACCUAAUAGUGAAUCCCAUCAGCAUAUGACUUUCUAGAAAAGGAAUGCUUAAGUUAGUCUGAACUUAUAAACUGGGAGCAUGUCCGUUACCCCUUCUUGAUGUUGCGUCUGGUCAUGUUACCCUGUUACUCAGUGCCUGCCUGAAUGAAUAGUUAAGCCAUAAAGAAGUUGGCAGAAAUUGAGCAAGAAGGCUAAAACAGUGAAACGGUGCGUACAAGUGCUCAGCUUAAAGUGCAGGAAGGUAAGGAUGGAUGUUUCCCCAGGUGAGGACAACAGCUAGGACAUUCUUGUUUUGUAGGUUUCCCUUUGAGGUUUAAAAAAAAAAAAAUCUGGUGGUAGUGCCCACAUACCAGCAGUAGAAAGAAUGAGUGAUUGAGUGGGAUGCACAUGCUGCAGAUAGUGUCUGGUGUUCCUAGCAGCUGAAGAUGGGGAGUAAAGCAAGCAGUAUAGGUCUGUGUGGGUGAGUCGGGGCAUUCUGUCCAAAGAAUGGAAAGAUGUCAAGACUUGGCACCUCUCGUGCAUGACAAGAUCUUUUAGAAGGACUGUGCUCCAUCUAACUCAGUGCUGUGACAGCAGCUGGUACUCAGACAGCACAUUGGAGCAUCUUGCUGUCGGACUUGAGUCUCCCUAUAAUGUAUCUGAAGAACAUACUUAGACUGUGUGUGUUCUUGGAAAGAGUCAGCUUUCCUUCCCAUGCCUGAUAUUUCUCGCUUUAGAGAUUUAGAAGUCAGGCAAGUAAAGUCAUCUCACACUUUUGAAGUAAAAAGGCAUGUGAAGACAUCUCUGAAAAUCCUAGAUUGCAAUAAAUGGUUCCAAGAGAAUUUUGCAUGUGCAGUCAAAGUAGCACAUGCAGUAGCAUCAAAGUUGCAUUAAAAAAAAAUCUGGUAUGGUCUGAUGAUGUAGUCUUUCUGUCCUGGGUCCUUAAGUCUUAAAUUUUCUAAAUGUGAGAAUUGGGGACAAAGUGGCAGCAGUAUUUGGGUAGGGAGAAGAAAUUUAAGAAAGUAACAUCUGCUGCUUUUUAAGAGAACACUUGUAGUGGAUUGUACCUUUCCAUUUUAACUUCCUCUGCAAUUUCAUUUCCAUUAGUCCCACUAGAAUGAGUGAACCUUUUCUGAGUAAGGAUACAGGACAAGUUGCUCUGCAGGUAUGUAUGGAAAAACUCAUGGCAGUGAUGGAAAAUCAUGGCAGUGAUGGCAGCUCUCUUCUCUGGUGUGAAAUCUGAACUUUCAAACAUGACAUGCUACCCAUAGGCUUGAUAAUAAACAGAAGAGUAUCAAGUAAAUAAUUUUAAAUUAUAUCUACACUGUCUGCCAUAGCUGCUUCUGUCUCAGGUUGAGGUCCCACGAGCUUGAAAUACAGAGAAGCGUGUAUUUAGUAUCUCUUUAGCCAUUCUGUAUUUCUUACAAUGCUUCCAACAAUGAAUAAAUUAAUACAGGACAGACAACAAGGAUAUUUGGUACAACUCCUUUUUAAUAUUAAAAAUUGCGUAUCUUUUGGAUACCAGCCUGGAAUUGGCAAUAGAUACAGUUGAGUUGUGAGGCUGUAAGCUUUGCUCUUGAUAUUAUAGGAAUGUGGGGGCUGUCUAAUUCACAUUGAUUCUCUAUUGGCAGAUACUGUGUCUGUUGGUAGGUGAAAAUUAGAUGGUGAUGCCUGAAUUCAUGAACCUUCUGUGCACUGAGGACUGUGAUAUAUAAACAUGCAAGAGGACCUACAGAAGGAAGCGUGCGACUGGCAAGGCCACACUGCUUUGGAGCAGACAGACCUUUUUUCAUACAUAGAGCCUUUGCUUGUGUGUUAGGUAGCAGCAAAUCCUUCUCUGUUGGAAAUUGAGACUGGAAAAUCUUAGCCUAGAAAAAAUUUAAUCAGGCUUUAAAACUGAAAGACUGGGCAUGAUUGCAGUUACUUCCGGUGAUAAAAUUGUUUGAUGAAAAUGGAGUUGCAGUAUGUGAUUAAACAUGGCCCCUUUGCUUAUUAUAUUCAUAUGGUUCAAUCCUGUCAUCUUAACAGUGCAAGUGUGUUACUACUGUCUUGAAGAAGAUGGGUGAUGGUAGAAUGAAAGGAAAAGCAGAAGUCUACGGCUGUGUAAAAUGAUUAUUCUGUCAAUUACUUGUGUAAAUAAGAUAAGAUGUUUUAGAAAUGGUUCUUGACUAAACAGGAACGAGAAAUUAAGCUCCAAACAAGUGAAACCUCGUAUUUUCAUUUGGUGUCUUUAGUAUGUAAGUGCCUGGUCCCUCUUACCUACUAAUAAUGUUUUAGCUUCUGUUCUCAUCUCGUCUCUCAUAUUUCCUGAAGGAUAUUCGUGAUGCCAUAUGAAUUGAGCUGGCUGUGUUUUCUAGGUUUCCUGGACUUAGCCUCCAUCCCUUUCAACAGUGGUUGCGGUUCAUCGUGCGCUCCAGUCAGCACUCUGUCAGAAGGCUUGGCUCAUACUUACCUAACAUUUUACAACUGAUUCUCUGUGCAAACAUUAUAAAAAACACCACAUUGAAUAUGCAACUGAAUGAUAUUUCAGUUUCUCCUGAGUUUGUGUACUUUUAACUGGAUGUGUUUGGGAAGCUGAGUCUUAAUUAGCUUUUAGUGGAGCUGAAACAAGUAAUUAUAUCAUUGCCUAUUAUAUUUGCUUGAAAAUACCUUUCUGUGUGACACCUGGGUCAUCUCAGAGUGCAUUCUGAGAAACUUGUUUCUUUGCAAGAAUUACAUGAAUUUUUGUGAUACCGUGUGACAAGAAAGACAAAAUAAAAUAAUAAUCGAUCAUAUUCCCAGAAACAGAGUUCAGUGCCUACAUAUUUAGCAUAUGAUUUGGAUUGAGAGAAGAAGGAAGAUAGAAAAGAGUAGUUCUAGCAUUUGUUUUGUUCAUUGAUCCCCUCACUAAGAACUGCAUGGUAUUGCAUCUUAUGGAUAGAGAGGGGCAGACCCUUGGAAGAUGAAGAUUGGUAAGAUACUGGUGUUACUUUUCUUUAUUGGCUUUAGCACUGUUUGCAAUGGUAAAAGUUUUGCUUUUCCAGCUUUUUUUUUUUUUUUUUCCUGAUAUUUUGCUAGUAUUCUGGAUGUGGAAGUAUUAGUAAGUUCUAAAUCAAACAGUACAAAAAUACAGAGUAUAAAAAGAAGUACACAAAUUUAUCAAGGCCUAAUAUCUAGAUGGUUGUGAGAAGGAAUGUCUUGAAUAAUGCUGUUAUUGUGGAAUGUGAUAAGGAAGUGAAGAAGAGAUACCUGAAGGAGCCUGCAUGGAGCUGUUGAGGUCCUACUAAACUGUGGCUGGCUGCACUGCAUUAUCAUGUGUUUUGGGUCUGAUAGGGCUAUAUUAUGUCAGGUAGUUCACAAAAGUAUCUAAGCUGUUUCCUGAGUAGAUCUGGCCUUGAAAGCAGUAUGAUCAUACUCAUAUUGUGCUUGAUCUCAGAAGCCUGAGGACAUGAGGUGGCUCAACAUAAAACCUUCUCUGUGUCCCUGCAUCUGCAGGGUGGGGGUUUUUUUUGUUUGUUUUGUUUUUUUUUUUGGUUUUUUUUUGUUUUUUUUUUUGUUUUUUUUUUUUUUUUGGACCAAUUAGAGGGCUGACUAUAUACAUAAAUGAAUUCCUGAAUGAAUUCCUCGUUCUGCAUCUGUGGAGAUACUUAUAACCAUUUUCCAUGUUCUCUGAAAUUCCACCGUUAAAUGGCUUUUCCCAGCAAAGAUUCACCUUUAGAAGAUAAAACCUCAGUAGUAUUUCCUUAUUCUCUUUCCAGGCUUUAAUUUAUGUGUGUUUCCAUCUUACAAGUUCCUUUACUACUAGGGAUAUGUCUAGUGCUUAUAGUGGUUCUCUUUUGAGCUUAAAUGGUUCCCAGGAACAUCUACCAUGUGCUUUACCAUAUGAGAUGGAAAGGAUAUUUCUAACAUUUGCAGUAUUGAUAGUCAUCUAUGCCUGCUGCUUCCCCUGCUUUGUUCACAAGCGUGUUAAGGCCCAGUGUAUGUGGUUCCUUUCCAGUUCCUCUGAAGAGCCUGGUGAGGGGGAAUUUCCUGCUCCUGUCUUAAGUUGUGCUUUUUUCCUCUUGAUAUGUUUUGCUGUGGAGUUCUUGCUUGUUUAUCUGUGCUUCCCCGUUUGGGCUCUGGCCUCUUCCUCUUCUCAUGAUGGCUUCUCAGAACUUAGCCUUCUGGCCUCAUACCCAACUUAUGUUUACAAUAAGUAAAAGCUUGUCGGUCCUCUUACUGCCUUUGGUGGGUUUUUGUCUAUGGAUACUGGCACAACCUCCUGAUAGCACUUACUGAGCCUCAGUUAAUGCCUGAGGUAUGGCUGUGCUAAAGAAUGUUUGAGGUGUCACUGCAUGUCUUGGAUGUUGCUUCAUUGACUCUAAAACCUCCUCUUCUGUUGAAGCCUUUUUGGCUCUGGCUGUCUUGCUAGUGGACUUAAUGUUUAUGAUUAAAUUAGUUAUUUGAUGGCACAAUUAUGCACACAUUAAAAACAGGACCCUGUGAUUUCUCGGCACCUUUCCCUCAUGACCAAAAGGGAGCCGCAGGUCCAUCUGUGGAAUUUGUUAGUGUCAGACUGUGGCUUGCUCCUGCGUUCCAGCCUCAGAAUAAUUUCCAUCUGCCAGAACUGUGCAAGAGAGCAGAAAGGACUAUAUCACUUGAAGCUAACUGCUUCAGAAAUUACAGUUCAGUCUUGCUUUUCCUCUCCCCUUUGAGGACAAGCUUAUUCACCAGUCCUAAACUUCAGCUCAUACUGUCUGUCUGGUCCUAGGUAUGGUAAUCAGCCGUUUGAUACAAAUUACACUUAUGACCCACAGAGUUAGGUUAGAUGUAGAGUUCAGCUUGCUUUAAGUGAGCUUUAAUACCUACAGACUAUCUGUAGGUAUGAAGUGAAACUAAAGGUAGUUGCUAGUUCCUGCCUUCAGGUAGUUCCUGCCUUCAGUUGCAUGUAGUAUGCAUAUACAUUUGGACUGUCAUUUAAAUACUGUGAAGUUGCUUAUCAAAAAGAGAAUUCUUUAAAUUUUUUGUUCACAUAUCCAUUCCUACAGUCCCACUCUUCUUCCUCAGCCCUUCCAGUGUUUCCUCUCUGUUAGGACUUUACACGGAAGAGGGCUUGAGCUGGCACUACCUGUGCUCAAUCCUGUGUAGUCAUGAGCCAGUCAUGAUGAAAGAGAAGCUGUGAGCAUGAGUCCCAGCAUAUCUUGAGAAGGUAACAAAAAGAAUUAUCCACUGUUGAGCAGUAGGAUUUAUGCCUAACCACAGGUAUGAAUGUAGACAUGCUCUGUGUCUCUAAGGAUAUCAGAUAUUCAGACUUCUGUCUACCAGAUACAUGUUACGUAAGCUUUGCAGAACACUUUGAAAACUUUUUGAUACCUGUACUGCUUAAAGGAGAUAUGACUUCCUUUUUUGUUCUUUUUGUUUUCACUUUAUUUUUUUCGCCGCCAGGCAUUCUGUUGCCUUUCAAAAGGAAAUGUCACUGCUCUGUGUUUUGAGAGUCAGACAGAGAUACUGCUCACUUUGGAUCAUGGCUUUGCUCUCUUAUUUAGAGGACAGUAAGUGAUGAAGGAAUGAGACUGAUGCUUCUCUGACAGACACUCAUCAGCUAUUGUUUCUUCAUGGGAGAGUUAAUUUGCUUGGCAGAAUCCAUUUGAGGGAAUGGUUUUUCUUCUAGAUCCCUUGAUCUUUCCUGAGCCUGGGCUGGCUCAUCAGACUAGCUCUGCGUAUGUCUCAGCAAACUUAUCUCCUUAGGGUCCAAGAAAGGAGGAUUUCUUUGGUUUCAUUCCUUUAUUUUUAAAGGAAAAAUAGCACAUUGUGAUCACAGUUGUCAGAUAGCUCUUGAGGAAUCCAGAAAUUCAUAAUUUCUCCAAAAUUGGUGGUCUUUUUGUGUCUUCACCACUUUGGGCCAUUAGGCUUAGAAGGUGCUCUCAGUAGAGUGUGAUGAUGCUUUGCUUCCUGCUGUGCCUUUUUGGCAGGUAUUAUCACUUAGACUUCUGUAGGCAACAAGAAAACUUGCAGCCUGGGUGUUUGUCAUUCAUGUGAGUACAUUAGAUUCAUUUAGUUUUUUAAAACCUAGCCUGUUCUAGUAGAUUUGUCUAAAAAGAAGAGUAACUAAAUGCCAGUUAAUGUCACAGCAGUAUGACUUUAUGAAAUGCCUAUGUAGACAUUGUUGAAGUGACUAUUGCAUUUCAUUUAAUCAUCAGAAUAUUUAGCUGAUCCUUUUUUGACUGAACAGUUCCUGUCUCCUUAAUAGGCAGUUUGAAAAAAUAAUGUUCUGUUCCAUAGUAGUUGAGGGUUUUUUAUUCUGUAUGCUUAAAUGAAUUUUCCAAAAUACAGUAGGAAAAAAAAAAAACAGGAAAAAAAGCCUAAACACUAAAGCCAAUAAACAUAGGUAUUUAUUCAUUUGUCCUGGACCAAGCCUUAUACAAACUGGUAUUCAAAGACUGAAGUCUAAAAUAGCUUAAACUAACUGGCAGGAUGUCGCAUUUUUUUAAUGAGGUGAAGCAAUAACUCACCUGACCUUUGCCGGCUUUCUAGCUUCCAGAUUCAGUCUAAAGUCCCUUGUUUUAGUUUAUAGGCAACUGUACAGUUUGAAUAGUUUUAGCAUAUUUUUAAGAACUGACCAGGAUCUUUCUAAGCAUACCUCAGUAAUGAGGAUACUUGAUAGCAUGUAAAACAGAUGUCUUGCUUCACCUGACUUACCUUCGCCUUUACAGUUCUAGAGAUGCAGGAUAAUAACGUAAAUCCUUCUAAUUCUGUCUGCAUUUUCUUUAAACUGCUUGUGUCUGUGACACUUUUAGCUAGUUUCAUAUUUAAGUUACUAACUCUGGUAAUUUCAGUGAAGUUCUUGACCACAGUAAUGAAUAGGGCAGCAGAGACUUUCCUUGGAUUAUGAAGUCUAUUUUAUUCACAUUAUUUUAUCAUGUUUAAGAAAAAUCUUGUUUGCUGCUUUUGUAUCUGGUAAAUGCCAGCUUCCUAUUUGUCUUGAUGUAUGAUUAGAGGACCUAUACUGUGUUAUAAUACCUUCCUCCUGUCUGAAAUUUUAAUUAUUUCAACUCUGGUCUGUUUUUAGACGAUGAAAGCCACUGUGAUGGGCACUAAAGCUUGGACUUGGGAUAUGAAUGCUAAUGGCAGGUACUCGUAUCAAAUUCCUGUAGUCUGACAUGUCUGAGGAAGGCUUAGGUGCUCUGUGCUUUUCAGCCAUAGUUUCCUCUGUUCUCAAUUAAUAUUUCAGUGUUGAUAAAAAUGUCUGUCUUUAGUUGUAGCAUAUCUAAGAGCUGCUCUGCAGCAAAGAAGGUGAGUUUAGAAGGGGGAGGACAACCAAGCCCUCAAUAGUUAAUAUGUUCUGACUUUUUCUAAUACAUUCAUUAAAGAUCUAUUAGAUCUUGGAACAAUCAGAAAGCUGCUGAUACCAUGACAAGAGCUAAAGAAACAGAGCAUAUUUUUAGCAUUGGGAAGGAAAAGACACCAAUCUGAGAAUUAGAUUUUUAGCCUUUCCCUAAGUAUUCUCAACCCUGUGGACACUUUGCAUCUGGGUCUGUUGCUCAGUCUGUUCAAUGAUAUAUUUUUUCUAUAUAUUUUCCUAAUUGAGAAUUAAUGUCUGUAUAGGGCUUAUUGCUAGAAAGUAUUUGUUGCUAGUGCUCUUUUAUUUCUGUCUGUGUGGAGUUCCAACAAGUAUCACUCUCUGCUUUAUGAUGAGGAGAAGGUGCUUUCUCUUAGCUGUGCUUUAAAGACAAGUAAUGGGAUUCCUGUUUUCAGUCAAGUGUGGGUAGCAUUUGUUCUGAAGCCUAAUGGAAGCCUUAGCUAAUAGGUAUCUUGAUUCUCUGAUUGAGGUUAUAAAGGACUUGCCUUUGAAUCUUAUUUUGACAGAUGUUUAAGUCCCUGGAUUUCUGUCUUGGGUAGUAACACAGCAAAUAAAUAGUCUCAGAUAUGCUUUGCUAGAUACAAUCUUGCUUUCUACAUGAUUCUAUUAUUAAUGGGGCGUAAUGCAGCAUAAGAACUUGAAAUCCGGAUGGACUUGAAUCAAAAUUUUUUUAAGGAAGUGCUAACAGUACUGCUACUAAUCCGUAACUUUAAAAAGUGAUGUGGAAAUUCUUGAAUAUGAAUCUCAUUUUAACUGUUAUUAAAACUUUGUAUACACUCUAUACUUUUGCAGUAAAUGUAAAAAAACACCACAGAUUAACUGUCUUCUCCUAGAAAAGCUCCAGCAUCUGCCUGUCGUGGCAUGUGAUCUGAGGAGUGAAAUACAUGCAUACCAAAAUUUCAGGUGGGUGUGGCACAUGUAUUUGCAGUCUUCUCUCUUGUUCUAUACCGUGUACUGGAAACUGCGCAUGCAUUGUAUAAUUUGUUUUCUACUGGUCCUCUUGUAAUGUCCGGUUUUUCUAAUAAACAUCUUUUGAAGUCA